rnacentral:rRNA from 1 species
GAGUUUGAUCAUGGCUCAGAACGUACGCUGGCGGCACGCCUAACACAUGCAAGUCGAACGAAGUAGCAAUACUUAGUGGCAGACGGGUGAGUAACAUGUAGGUAUCUGCCCUUUGGCCUGGAAUAACACGAGGAAACUUGUGCUAAUACCGGAUAAGUCUUUACGGAGAAAGCUUUAUGCACCAUUGGAUGAGCCUGCACUUGAUUAGUUUGUUGGUGGGGUAAUGGCCUACCAAGACUGUGAUCAAUAGCUGAUUUGAGAGGAUGAUCAGCCACAUUGGGACUGAGACACGGCCCAAACUCCUACGGGAGGCAGCAGUAGGGAAUCUUGCACAAUGGAGGAAACUCUGAUGCAGCGAUGCCGCGUGAGUGAAGAAGGCCCUUGGGUUGUAAAGCUCUUUCGUCGGGGAAGAAAAUGACUGUACCCGAAUAAGAAGGUCCGGCUAACUUCGUGCCAGCAGCCGCGGUAAUACGAAGGGACCUAGCGUAGUUCGGAAUUACUGGGCUUAAAGAGUUCGUAGGUGGUUGAAAAAGUUGGUGGUGAAAUCCCAGAGCUUAACUCUGGAACUGCCAUCAAAACUUUUCAGCUAGAGUAUGAUAGAGGAAAGUAGAAUUUCUAGUGUAGAGGUGAAAUUCGUAGAUAUUAGAAAGAAUACCAAUUGCGAAGGCAGCUUUCUGGAUCAUUACUGACACUGAGGAACGAAAAGCAUGGGUAGCGAAGAGGAUUAGAUACCCUCGUAGUCCAUGCCGUAAACGAUGUGUGUUAGACGUUGGAAAUUUAUUUUUCAGUGUCGCAGCGAAAGCGAUAAACACACCGCCUGGGGAGUACGACCGCAAGGUUAAAACUCAAAUGAAUUGACGGGGACCCGCACAAGUAGUGGAGCAUGUGGUUUAAUUUGAAGAUACGCGCAGAACCUUACCAACACUUGACAUGUUCGUCGCGACUCUAAGAGAUUAGAGUUUUCGGUUCGGCCGGACGAAACACAGGUGCUGCAUGGCUGUCGUCAGCUCGUGUCGUGAGAUGUUGGGUUAAGUCCCGCAACGAGCGCAACCCUCACUUUUAGUUGCCAUCAUUAAGUUGGGCACUCUGAAAGAACUGCCAGUGAUAAGCUGGAGGAAGGUGGGGAUGACGUCAAGUCCUCAUGGCCCUUACGUGUUGGGCUACACACGUGCUACAAUGGUAUCUACAACAGGAAGCAAGACUGCGAAGUUAAGCAAAUCCCUAAAAGAUACCUCAGUUCGGAUUGCACUCUGCAACUCGAGUGCAUGAAGCUGGAAUUACUAGUAAUCGUGGAUCAGCGUGCCACGGUGAAUGCGUUCCCGGGUCUUGUACACACCGCCCGUCACACCAUGGGAGUUGGUUCUACCUUAAGGCAAGGUUUUAAACCCUUGACCACGGUAUAGUCAGCGACUGGGGUGAAGUCGUAACAAGGUAACC